rnacentral:rRNA from 1 species
UACGGGGGGGGGCAAGCGUUGUUCGGAAUUACUGGGCGUAAAGGGUUCGUAGGUGGCCAACGUAAGCCAGACGUGAAAUCCCUCAGCUUAACUGGGGAACUGCGUCUGGGACUGGAUGCUUGAGUGCAGGAGAGGAACGCGGAAUUCCAGGUGUAGCGGUGAAAUGCGUAGAUAUCUGGAGGAACACCGGUGGCGAAAGCGGCUCACUGGACCAUAACUGACGCUGAGGCACGAAAGCUAGGGGAGCAAACAGGAUUAGAAAGCCCGGGU